rnacentral:rRNA from 1 species
AUACGUAGGUGGCAAGCGUUGUCCGGAAUUAUUGGGCGUAAAGCGCGCGCAGGCGGUCCUUUAAGUCUGAUGUGAAAGCCCACGGCUCAACCGUGGAGGGUCAUUGGAAACUGGGGGACUUGAGUGCAGAAGAGGAAAGUGGAAUUCCAAGUGUAGCGGUGAAAUGCGUAGAGAUUUGGAGGAACACCAGUGGCGAAGGCGACUUUCUGGUCGGUAACUGACGCUGAGGCGCGAAAGCGUGGGGAGCAAACAGGAUUUGAUACCCUGGUAGUCCACGCCGUAAACGAUGAGUGCUAAGUGUUGGGGGGUUUCCGCCCCUCAGUGCUGCAGCUAACGCAUUAAGCACUCCGCCUGGGGAGUACGGUCGCAAGACUGAAACUUAAAGGAAUUGACGGGG